AGGAUAAACGCUGGCGGCGUGCCUAACACAUGCAAGUCGAACGUCCUACGCAAGUAGGGAGUGGCGGACGGGUGAGUAACACGUGGGCAAUCUACCUUUCGGUGAGGAAUACCGGCGAGAAAUCGCCGACAAUACCGCAUACGCUUCGCAAGAAGCAAAGUCGCAAGACGCCGGAGGAGGAGCCUGCGCCCGAUUAGCUCGUUGGUGGAGUAAUGGUCUACCAAGGCGACGAUCGGUAGCUGGUCUGAGAGGAUGAUCAGCCACACUGGGAUUGAGAACGGCCCAGACUCCUACGGGGGGCAGCAGUGAGGAAUUUUCCGCAAUGGGCGAAAGCCUGACGGAGCAACGCCGCGUGAGUGAUGAAGACCUUCGGGUUGUAAAGCUCUGUCGGAGGGAAGAACACAAUGACGGUACCCUCCAAGAAGGCCCCGGCUAACUACGUGCCAGCAGCCGC
rnacentral:rRNA from 1 species